GUCCCGAUAGCUCAGUAGGAUAGAGCGGUCCCCUCCUAAGGGACAGGCCGGUGGUUCGAUUCCGCCUCGGGACGCCA
rnacentral:tRNA from 1 species